rnacentral:lncRNA from 1 species
CUGAUUCUUUCUUUUCUUCUACCCUUUUUUUCUUUUGGUUCUCCUCCUCCUGUUCUGAAAGUAAAUAAAAGGCUUUGUCCCAAGUUAAAUGUUACAUUGUACAUUAAAGAAUUAAUUAGGCGUGGACCUGGAUUUACACCAGAUGAUGGUCCAUGAAGGGUCCUUGCACUAGGUAGGACCUGGAAAACAGCUAGCUUCUUCAGGUGGCACCGAGGUCCAUGGGCGUGGCACAAGGGGCUAGAGAUUUUGCAGGUAGGUUCACACCAUCACCUCUGAUGGAUGCAGUAGGGCCUCUAACCGAGCUGGCUCUGCUCACAAGAUUUGAGUCAAGAAAUACAACUAUGACUGUGAUGUCAUCAUGGA